rnacentral:rRNA from 1 species
CCCUGGUAGUCCACGCCGUAAACGAUGUCGACUUGGAGGUUGUUCCCUUGAGGAGUGGCUUCCGGAGCUAACGCGUUAAGUCGACCGCCUGGGGAGUACGGCCGCAAGGUUAAAACUCAAAUGAAUUGACGGGGGCCCGCACAAGCGGUGGAGCAUGUGGUUUAAUUCGAUGCAACGCGAAGAACCUUACCUACUCUUGACAUCCAGAGAACUUAGCAGAGAUGCUUUGGUGCCUUCGGGAACUCUGAGACAGGUGCUGCAUGGCUGUCGUCAGCUCGUGUUGUGAAAUGUUGGGUUAAGUCCCGCAACGAGCGCAACCCUUAUCCUUUGUUGCCAGCGGUUAGGCCGGGAACUCAAAGGAGACUGCCAGUGAUAAACUGGAGGAAGGUGGGGAUGACGUCAAGUCAUCAUGGCCCUUACGAGUAGGGCUACACACGUGCUACAAUGGCGCAUACAAAGAGAAGCGACCUCGCGAGAGCAAGCGGACCUCAUAAAGUGCGUCGUAGUCCGGAUUGGAGUCUGCAACUCGACUCCAUGAAGUCGGAAUCGCUAGUAAUCGUAGAUCAGAAUGCUACGGUGAAUACGUUCCCGGGCCUUGUACACACCGCCCGUCACACCAUGGGAGUGGGUUGCAAAAGAAGUAGGUAGCUUAACCUUCGGGAGGGCGCUUACCACUUUGUGAUUCAUGACUGGGGUGAAGU